AACGAACGCUGGCGGCAGGCUUAACACAUGCAAGUCGAACGGGCGUAGCAAUACGUCAGUGGCCGACGGGUGAGUAACACGUGGCAAUAUCCCUUCAAGCUCGGAAUAACGCAGGGAUACUUGAGCUAAUACCGAAUACGUCCUUCGGGAGAAAGAUUUAUCACUGCGAGAUUAGCCCGCGUCUGAUUAGCUAGUUGGUGAGGUAAUGGCUCACCAAGGCGACGAUCAGUAGCUGGUCUGAGAGGAUGAUCAGCCACACUGGGACUGAGACACGGCCCAGACUCCUACGGGAGGCAGCAGUGGGGAAUAUUGGACAAUGGGGGCAACCCUGAUCCAGCCAUGCCGCGUGAGUGAUGAAGGCCUUAGGGUUGUAAAGCUCUUUUGCUAGGGAAGAUAAUGACUGUACCUAGAGAAUAAGCCCCGGCUAACUUCGUGCCAGCCGCCGCAGUAA
rnacentral:rRNA from 1 species